rnacentral:tRNA from 1 species
GGAGAGGUGGCCGAGUGGUCGAAGGCGCAUGCUUGGAAAGCAUGUAAGCGGGUAACUGCUUCGGGGGUUCGAAUCCCUUCUUCUCCGC